GUGACUCUUCCUAAAACAAAUUGAAGUUUAGUCACCGUACUAAAAUCAAUGAUGAGUUAAAUGAUGAUCGGUAAAAUCAAGCCUACAUGUUUUAGUCAAAGUCUUUUGGUAAAAAUGGUAGUUUCUAGUUCCUUCUCCCAAUUUCUCAACAAACCAAAUAGUUCAUACUAGAUUUGAUACAAAACAACCAUGAGAGUAGUUUUGAGUAAUAAUUAUUAAUUUCAUCUAGUGCUGAUUCU
rnacentral:misc_RNA from 1 species